rnacentral:rRNA from 1 species
UACGAAGGGGGCUAGCGUUGCUCGGAAUCACUGGGCGUAAAGGGUGCGUAGGCGGGUUAUUAAGUCAGAGGUGAAAUCCUGGAGCUCAACUCCAGAACUGCCUUUGAUACUGAUAGUCUUGAGUAUGGGAGAGGUGAGUGGAACUGCGAGUGUAGAGGUGAAAUUCGUAGAUAUUCGCAAGAACACCAGUGGCGAAGGCGGCUCACUGGCCCAUUACUGACGCUGAGGCACGAAAGCGUGGGGAG